GGCCGCAUGGCCCAAUGGUCAAGGCGCUUGACUACGACUGUCAUCCGAAAUCAAGAGAUUCCAGGUUCGACUCCUGGUGUGGUCG